AGCAGCCGCGGUAAUUCCAGCUCCAAUAGCGUAUAUUAAAGUUGUUGCAGUUAAAAAGCUCGUAGUUGAACUUCGGGGUUCACCCAUUGGUCAGGCUUAAUUGUCUGUACUGGUGAGAUGAGUCUCUACCUUCUGAGGAACUUUCAUGCCAUUUAUUUGGUGUGAUGGGAAAUCAGGACUGUUACUUUGAAAAAUUAGAGUGUUUAAAGCAGGCUAACGUCUGAAUACAUUAGCAUGGAAUAAUGAAAUAGGACGGAUUGAUUCUAUUUCGUUGGUUUCUAGGGUCACCGUAAUGAUUAAUAGGGAUAGUUGGGGGCAUUAGUAUUCAAUUGUCAGAGGUGAAAUUCUUGGAUUUAUUGAAGACUAACUACUGCGAAAGCAUUUGCCAAGGAUGUUUUCAUUAAUCAAGAACGAAAGUUAGGGGAUCGAAGACGAUCAGAUACCGUCGUAGUCUUAACCAUAAACUAUGCCGACUAGGGAUCGGACGCAGUUAAUUUUAUAAUGACGUGUUCGGCACCGU
rnacentral:rRNA from 1 species